GCGCGUGCUAAUAAUGCCAAGACCGAGCAACAAAACGAAGGUACCGAUGCACAUCUAACCGGAGGGACCGACGGGAUGAACGAACACGUACCAUAACCUAAAGAGUAAAAUAACAUAACGAAAACAAACCGGAACAAAGACAGAAUAAUAUAUUGAACCCAAGGGUCAAAAAGGAAAAAACGGUUUUGGCGGCAACUAAUAAAGGAAUCCCCCCCCCAAUAAACAAGUGGGAAAGGAAACGCCUCACCAAGCCAAACAAGCCGAAGCCAACCUAAGAAGGGAACCGCCACCACGGAAACGAAAACACGUCCAAAACCCCAACGGAAGCAACAGUAAGGGAAUCUCCCCAAUGGGCCAAAACCCGAACGAACAAACCCCCCGGAAUGAAGAAAGGCCUCCGAAGCCGANAAACCCGGUAAUAAGGAAAAACAAAAGGGGAAAGAAACAAGCAACGCCUGAACGGNACCUAACAAAAAACCAACGCCAAACAACGGCCAACAANCCCCCGGAAAAACGAAGGGGCAAACCGUAACCCGAAAUAAUGGGCCGAAAGCGCGCGUAGGCGGUUUUUUAAGAUCUGAUGGGAAAGCCCACGGGCUCAACCGUGGGAGGGGCAUUGGAAACUGGAAAACUUGAGUGCAGAAAGAGGAAAGUGGAAUUCCAUGUGUAGCGGUGAAAUGCGCAGAGAUAUGGAGGAACACCAGUGGCGAAGGCGACUUUCCUGGUCUGUAACUGACGACUGAUGUGCGAAAGCGUGGGGAUCAAACAGGAUUAGAUACCCNUGGUAGUCCACGCCGUAAACGAUGAGUGCUAAGUGUUAGGGGGUUUCCGCCCCUUAGUGCUGCAGCUAACGCAUUAANCACUCCGCCUGGGGAGUACGACCGCAAGGUUGANAACUCAAAGGAAUUGACGGGGACCCGCACAAGCGGAGGAGCAUGUGGUUUAAUUCGAAGCAACGCGAAGAACCUUACCAAAUCUUGACAUCCUCUGACCCCUCUAGAGAUAAAGUUUUCCCCUUCGGGGGACAGAGUGACAGGUGGUGCAUGGUUGUCGUCAGCUCGUGUCGUGAGAUGUUGGGUUAAGUCCCGCAACGAGCGCAACCCUUAAGCUUAGUUGCCAUCAUUAAGUUGGGCACUCUAAGUUGACUGCCGGUGACAAACCGGAGGAAGGUGGGGAUGACGUCAAAUCAUCAUGCCCCUUAUGAUUUGGGCUACNCNCGUGCUNCAAUGGACAAUNCAAAGGGCAGCGAANCCGCGAGGUCAAGCAAAUCCCAUAAAGUUGUUCUCAGUUCGGAUUGUAGUCUGCAACUCGNCCUAUAUGAAGCUGGAAUCGCUAGUAAUCGUAGAUCAGACAUGCUACCGGUGAAUACCGUUCCCCGGGUCUUGUACCACCACCCGCCCGUCCA
rnacentral:rRNA from 1 species